AGUGAACGCUGGCGGUAGGCCUAACACAUGCAAGUCGAACGGCAGCACAGUAAGAGCUUGCUCUUACGGGUGGCGAGUGGCGGACGGGUGAGGAAUACAUCGGAAUCUACUUUUUCGUGGGGGAUAACGUAGGGAAACUUACGCUAAUACCGCAUACGACCUACGGGUGAAAGCAGGGGAUCUUCGGACCUUGCGCGAUUGAAUGAGCCGAUGUCGGAUUAGCUAGUUGGCGGGGUAAAGGCCCACCAAGGCGACGAUCCGUAGCUGGUCUGAGAUGAUGAUGAGCCACACUGGAACGGAAACACGGUCCAGACUCGUACGAGAGGCAGCGGUGGGGAAUAUAGGACAGUGGGAGGAAUGCUAAUCCAGCCAAACCGCGUGGGUGGAGAAGGCCUGCGGGUUGGAAAGCCCUUUUGUUUGGAAAGAAAAGCAGCAGGUUAAUACCCCGCGGAUCUGACGGUACCAAAAGAAUAAGCACCGGCUAACUUCGUG
rnacentral:rRNA from 1 species